GAAAAAAGGGCAAACAAGGAAGCGAAAAACAGAUGAUCAAAAGAUCGCUGAAAUUAGGAGUUGGUAUCCUAGUAGUGGCGAUGUCCAGCUCCGAUUAACGACGGGUGGAUUCGUAGGUCCGUCAUUCUGGUCAGCACUGCUAGGUGACGAUAACGAGGGGUGGUUGAGCGAUGAUCAUAUCUUUGGUUGGAUGAUCCACUUGUAUGAAUCGAGAGAUCGUAAUGCCCGUUGGAGUAUUUUACCACCAUAUUUCCAAAUGUAUUUUUAUGGAACGACUCUCCCUGAACAAACAUACAAGGGUUAUUACACCGGGGUCGUGGAACCUUUUCCAGCAAUUACUACAGUUGAUGAGGUGUAUGUACCUUUGCUUAUACCGCAAACACACUGGUUUCUGGGGGUUUUCAACCUGGUUAACCGUACUCUGACUGUUUACGA